rnacentral:lncRNA from 1 species
CUGUCUGUUUGUUUUGUUCACGCAUCAUUAUCAAGUUUAUUAAAUUUGAUGCGACUUUCGUACAAGUGAGAGGUUUAGCGCUAUAAAACCAGGUUCAAUCCACCAUUUUCUACAUUUGAAAAUGCCUGUACCAAGUCAGGAAUAUGAUUAUUGUUGUCCAUUCGGGACUUUCCGAUUUGAUUUUCCUCUGAGUUCAGUAUUUUUGUAAUUUUUCUUUUUAGAUGACGGUUAAGUAAAUGUUUAGCUCUGAAGGACGAUAUUUUGACGCUAAUUGACUAUUAUAUGACGUUUACGUAAGUGUUUGACGCUUAAAGACGAUUGUUUGACGCUGAAGUACGAUUAUUACACGCUGAAAUACAAUUGUAUUACGCCAAAAAACUAUUAUUUGAAACUUAAGUACUAUUGUAAAGUUAUCUUAUUAAACAACGAUGUGUUAUAUUAUCUUCAAUAUUUUU